CGUCCACUUGCAGAUUCUAGAAAAAGAGUGUUUCAUAGCUGCUCUUUCCAAAGGAAAGUUCAACUCUGGGAGUUGAAUACAAACAUCACCAAAAAGUUCCUGAGAAUGCAUCUGUAUAGUUUUUAUGUGAAGAUGAUUCCGUUUCCAACGAAAUCUUCAAAGAGGUCUACAUGUCCCCUUGCGGAUGCCACAGAAAGAGAGUUUCAAAACUGCGCUCUCAAAAGGAGUGUUCAACUCCGUGAGUUGAAUGCAGUCAU
rnacentral:lncRNA from 1 species